AAAUANGACUCUCGGCAACGGAUAUCUCGGCUCUCGCAUCGAUGAAGAACGUAGCGAAAUGCGAUACUUGGUGUGAAUUGCAGAAUCCCGUGAACCAUCGAGUCUUUGAACGCAAGUUGCGCCCGAAGCCGUCAGGCCGAGGGCACGUCUGCCUGGGCGUCACG
rnacentral:rRNA from 1 species